rnacentral:misc_RNA from 1 species
GAACAAUAUUUGUUUUAUUUAGUUCUUUCAACAUAUGCCUUGAAACAAAAAAACUUGUCACAGCUUGACACAAAUCUUCCUUGAUGAUAUCCCAAUUUUGCUGGUAAAACAAACUAGGAAAACCAUCUGGUCCUGGCGCCUUCUUUCCUCCCAAAUCAAAAACAGCAACUUUGAUUUCCUCUUCCGAAAUUGGGGUCAAUAGAUGCUCAUUCAACUCUUGAGGAACAAUGGUUGGAAGUACAGCUGCAACUUCGUCAUCCUCAACAGUACUUGAGCUUUUAUAGACUCUGUGAAAGAAGCCAGAUAUCUCAUUUGUGAUUCCUACUUCAGACUCAAUCCACUGCCCAUUGCCACUCUUCAAUUUCACAAUAGCGUUUCUAUGACGCCUUUGAAUAGUAGAAAGGUGGAAAAAUCUUGAGUUUCUGUCUCCUUCCUUUAACCAAUUGAUUCUAGACCGCUGACUCCAGUGUGCUUCAUCUUGUCUCCACAAAUCAUUAAGCCUCUUCAAAAGUUAUAUCUCAGUAACUUUUUGCUAAGCUUCUGCAGGUUUGUUAUAAAUGCCUUCCAAUUCAUUUUUUAUCUGUUGCAUCUCUAUUUGAGUACCUCUGAAAUGUAUCCGACUCCAUUGGCUUAAUGCCUUUCUACAACUUUUCAAUUUGGCAUUAAAACAAAACAUUGGUGACCCUUUGAUUUGCUUGUUCCAUGCCGAAGCUACGACUGAUGAACAAUCUCUGUGCUGGAGCUAUUUAGAUUCGAAACGGAAUAAGAAAUUAUCGCUUGACAAUUCUACCUUCUAACAAAAGCACCAAUGGCCGAUGGUCCGAUCCUAUCAUGGCUUCAUGUAAUAAAUACGCCUUAGGAAAGGCUUCUCUCCACUCAAUAGAGGCAAGGGCACGAUCAAGGCGUUCUAGAAUUGCAUUUUCCCCUAACUGCUUGUUAAACCAUGUAUAGCAAGGGCCCUUAAAUUCCAAAUCGACUAUCUGACAAUGAUCAACAAAAGCAGCCAUAUAUCUUACUUGAGAAGAAGUUACCCUUUUUCCACCCAAUUUCUCUACUUGAGAAAUUAUAGCAUUAAAAUCUCCAAUGCAUAACCAAGAUUCAGGUUGACAAGGGUGAAGAGCUUGCAUAUUCUCCCAAAAAGAGGCUCGAUGAGCGAUGUCUAGACUGCCAUAAACAAAAGUGAAAUGGCAUAGGCAAUUAUGAGUGACCAGAUUAAUUACUGUAUCCACAAAAUUAAAAUUUGCCUGUAAGAUGGAUAUAUCAACACUAUCAAUCCACCAUAAUGCUAAGCCACCUGCCAAACCAACCGGAUCCACAUAAAAUGCUUUGUCGAAACCCAA